AGUGAACGCUGGCGGUAGGCCUAACACAUGCAAGUCGAACGGCAGCACAGUAAGAGCUUGCUCUUACGGGUGGCGAGUGGCGGACGGGUGAGGAAUACAUCGGAAUCUACUUUUUCGUGGGGGAUAACGUAGGGAAACUUACGCUAAUACCGCAUACGACCUACGGGUGAAAGCAGGGGAUCUUCGGACCUUGCGCGAUUGAAUGAGCCGAUGUCGGAUUAGCUAGUUGGCGGGGUAAAGGCCCACCAAGGCGACGAUCCGUAGCUGGUCUGAGAGGAUGAUCAGCCACACUGGAACUGAGACACGGUCCAGACUCCUACGGGAGGCAGCAGUGGGGAAUAUUGGACAAUGGGCGCAAGCCUGAUCCAGCCAUACCGCGUGGGUGAAGAAGGCCUUCGGGUUGUAAAGCCCUUUUGUUGGGAAGGAAAAGCAGCAGGUUAAUACCCCGCUGUUCCGACGGUACCCAAAGAAUAAGCACCGGCUAACUUCGUG
rnacentral:rRNA from 1 species